rnacentral:tRNA from 1 species
AAUUUGUUAGUUUAAUUAAAAUGGAAAAUUUGUAAUUUUCAGUUAUUUCUUACAUUUUUGUAGCAAAAAUAUUG